UACGAAGGGGGCGAGCGUUGUUCGGAAUUACUGAGCGUAAAGGGCGCGCAGGCGGCCUUAGAAGUCAGAUGUGAAAGCCCCGGGCUCAACCUGGGAAUGGCAUUUGAUACUCUGAGGCUGGAGUACGGGAGAGGAGAGUGGAAUUCCCAGUGUAGAGGUGAAAUUCGUAGAUAUUGGGAAGAACACCGGUGGCGAAGGCGGCUCUCUGGACCGUAACUGACGCUGAGGCGCGAAAGCGUGGGGAGCAAACAGG
rnacentral:rRNA from 1 species